CGCGGGAUGGAGCAGUUGGUAGCUCGUCGGGCUCAUAACCCGAAGGUCGGAGGUUCAAGUCCUUCUCCCGCUA
rnacentral:tRNA from 1 species